rnacentral:lncRNA from 1 species
ACACACAAAUGCUUGGCAGAAAGUAGAAUUCAUUUCGGAUAAGGGGUGGGAAAGAGGGGUCUCUCUCUCUCUCUCUCUUUCUCUCUCGCUCUCUGGCAGCCGCCUGCAUUGUUGGCAGGAGCGUUCAGAAUAAAAACAGCAACAGCAAUAGGAGAGAAAAAAGUGAAAUGAUCCGUAGGGCUGAAAGUCUUUGCCCUUUCUUAAUUACGUCGCGUCCAGUAUCCUUUUUUCCUUUUUUUCUUCCUUCUUCUUCAUCUUCUUCUUCCUCCUCCUUUUUUGAAGACUUUAUGAAGUGGUAAUUAGCCAGAAGAGAAUAAAAACAGCUGAUUUGGACAGGACUGCUGCAGUCUGGAGCGAGAUGGCUAACAGGAAGGUUGUUUCACUCCUCGGAUUCCUCCUCCUCGCGCUCCUUCACCCUUCGCUCGAGGGAGGUGUGUAUGUCCCUGGUGGAGGACAGGGUACUCCUACCUUCCCAGGAUAUGGUAGCCUUGGUGCAGGUGGGUUUGGACCUGGAGUUGGAGCAGGGGCUGGGGCCAAGCCACCUAAACCUGGAUAUGGUGGUCUUGUUCCUGGAGGGGCAGGGAUUGGAGGAGCUGGGACAGGGUACGGUGUGAAGCCUCCCAAACCAGGGUAUGGUGGUGUUGGAGGCCUUGGUCCCGGGGGUGUCGGUGCUGGAGGAGGGGUUGGAACAGGUACACCCCAAGGCUCACCUAAAUUCCUAUACUAUGAUAUGUCUGUGACCUCUUGCUCGGAAACGCGUUGCUCAUUCUCAAUUUCUUCUCAACCUCAUACAGGAGCUGGUGGGAAGCCUCCAAAGCCAGGUUAUGGAAAUCUGGGCGUUGGAGGACUUGGGGGUGCUGGAGGGCUAUACAGGCCUGGAGGUGAAUUUAUGACAUUACUGACAGAUUUUUGUAGGCUACUAACAUUCACCCUGUAGGUCUACCUUAGGAUUUUGCUACGCACAGUUUAAUGUUUUG